UGGUGCCUACGGGGGGCAGCAGUGGGGAAUAUUGGGCAAUGGGCGCAAGCCUGACCCAGCAACGCCGCGUGAAGGAAGAAGGCUUUCGGGUUGUAAACUUCUUUUCCCAGGGACGAAGAAAGUGACGGUACCUGAGGAAUAAGCCACGGCUAACUACGUGCCAGCAGCCGCGGUAAUACGUAGGCGGCAAGCGUUAUCCGGAUUUACUGGGUGUAAAGGGCGUGUAGGCGGGGAAGCAAGUCAGAUGGGAAAACCAAGG
rnacentral:rRNA from 1 species